rnacentral:rRNA from 1 species
GCGUAUAUUAAAGUUGUUGCGGUUAAAAAGCUCGUAGUUGGAUCUCAGCUCACGCUAAGUGGUCCACCUAAUGGUGGUUACUACUUAGCUGAGCAUUUUACAGAUUUGUCUCUUGAUGCUCUUCACCGAGUGUCAAGAGUGGUCUGUACGUUUACUUUGAAAAAAUUAGAGUGCUUAAAGCAGGCAACUCGCCCGAAUAAUCUUGCAUGGAAUAAUGGAAUAGGACCUUGGUUCUAUUUUGUUGGUCUCCGGAAUCUGAGGUAAUGAUUAAGAGGGACAGACGGGGGCAUUCGUAUUGCGCCGCUAGAGGUGAAAUUCUUGGACCGGCGCAAGACGAACUACAGCGAAAGCAUUUGCCAAGAAUGUUUUCAUUAAUCAAGAACGAAAGUUAGAGGUUCGAAGGCGAUCAGAUACCGCCCUAGUUCUAACCAUAAACGAUGCC